rnacentral:sRNA from 1 species
CUUGUUGAGGGCAGAUAAAGUGAAUAUGGGUAUCUACACCGCCAGCAGUAAUUAUUUUUCCUUCGCCUGCGAUUACUUCGGUACCAGGACCUACAACGAUAUCUACAUUAGGCUGUACAUCAGGGUUACCUGCUUUGCCAAUGCCAGCAAUGCGACCAUCUUUAAUGCCUAUGUCUGCCUUGACGAUACCCCAAUGAUCAACAAUCAGUGCGUUGGUGAUCAGAACAUCGACACACUCACUGCAUAUCACUUGGCUUUGACCCAUGCCGUCACG